GGGCAUGAACUUGGCAGUUCUAACUGAUUGCGCAGAAUCCUGUGGGAGCGAGGAUUUCGCAACUACCUGAAUUUUAUCCUUAUCUUGUACAUGGAUAGUUGAGUUCAUAAGGGACUUGUAACUUGGGGUUGUUCCUCUUUAAAAGGACCCUCAAGGGUGGGGUUAGAGAUCAGAGAGAGAUCAUUGAGGGAUCUUCUUGUAUCUGUGAGAGAU
rnacentral:lncRNA from 1 species